AUGCAAGUCGAGCGGUAGCACAAGGGAGCUUGCUCCCUGGGUGACGAGCGGCGGACGGGUGAGUAAUGUCUGGGAAACUGCCUGAUGGAGGGGGAUAACUACUGGAAACGGUAGCUAAUACCGCAUAACGUCGCAAGACCAAAGAGGGGGACCUUCGGGCCUCUUGCCAUCAGAUGUGCCCAGAUGGGAUUAGCUAGUAGGUGGGGUAAUGGCUCACCUAGGCGACGAUCCCUAGCUGGUCUGAGAGGAUGACCAGCCACACUGGAACUGAGACACGGUCCAGACUCCUACGGGAGGCAGCAGUGGGGAAUAUUGCACAAUGGGCGCAAGCCUGAUGCAGCCAUGCCGCGUGUGUGAAGAAGGCCUUCGGGUUGUAAAGCACUUUCAGCGAGGAGGAAGGUGGUGAGCUUAAUACGCUCAUCAAUUGACGUUACUCGCAGAAGAAGCACCGGCUAACUCCGUGCCAGCAGCCGCGGUAAUACGGAGGGUGCAAGCGUUAAUCGGAAUUACUGGGCGUAAAGCGCACGCGGGCGGUUUGUUAAGUCAGAUGUGAAAUCCCCGGGCUCAACCUGGGAACUGCAUUUGAAACUGGCAAGCUAGAGUCUCGUAGAGGGGGGUAGAAUUCCAGGUGUAGCGGUGAAAUGCGUAGAGAUCUGGAGGAAUACCGGUG
rnacentral:rRNA from 1 species